rnacentral:rRNA from 1 species
GACAGAGGGUGCAAACGUUGCUCGGAAUCACUGGGCGUAAAGGGCGUGUAGGCGGGCAGGCAAGUCAGAUGUGAAAUCCCCAGGCUCAACCUGGGAACUGCAUUUGAAACUCCCUUUCUUGAGUACCGGAGAGGAAAGUGGAAUUCCUGGUGUAGAGGUGAAAUUCGUAGAUAUCAGGAGGAACACCAGUGGCGAAGGCGGCUUUCUGGACGGUAACUGACGCUGAGACGCGAAAGCAUGGGGAGCAAACAGG